UCGGUACUCGCGAAUGCUCUAGAUUAGAGUUUGAUCAUGGCUCAGANUGAACGCUCGGCGGUAGGCCUAACACAUGCAAGUCGAACGGCAGCACAGGAGAGCUUGCUCUCUGGGUGGCGAGUGGCGGACGGGUGAGGAAUACAUCGGAAUCUACUCUGUCGUGGGGGGUAACGUAGGGAAACUUACGCUAAUACCGCAUACGACCUACGGGUGAAAGCAGGGGAUCUUCGGACCUUGCGCGAUUGAAUGAGCCGAUGUCGGAUUAGCUAGUUGGCGGGGUAAAGGCCCACCAAGGCGACGAUCCGUAGCUGGUCUGAGAGGAUGAUCAGCCACACUGGAACUGAGACACGGUCCAGACUCCUACGGGAGGCAGCAGUGGGGAAUAUUGGACAAUGGGCGCAAGCCUGAUCCAGCCAUACCGCGUGGGUGAAGAAGGCCUUCGGGUUGUAAAGCCCUUUUGUUGGGAAAGAAAUCCAGCCGGCU
rnacentral:rRNA from 1 species